CAUCAAUCACCAUGGGAGAAGAGAAGCUCUGAGCAGUUGAGCUCGAUUCGGACGGACGCCAAAGAAGAAAGCUCAAAGCUCGAUUCUCGGACGCAGGAGCGUAUCAAAAUGACUGAAAGCUGCCUGCUUGAAGAAGAACUAGUCCUCCCUGCUCGGUCGAUCUCUCUCCCUCUCCCACUGCACAGUGUUCUGUCGGUGAGAUCUCUCUUCUGGUAAUGCAGAUGAGAUGAGCUAGCUGGUUCCUCGGAAGGAGCGGAAAAAUGGGACCGACCAAGCUCAAGAACGAGCUCUUGUCUGAGAGGAGAGGGAGAAGGAUCAGUAAGCACAGGUUCUCGCGUCUGGUGCUCCUAAUUGCAGUCAUUUUCGUGUUCUGCCUGGCAGCUUUUGGCCUAAACUUGCUCUUGCACGGUAAGAUCGAAAACCGGAGUCCAUCUACCCAGGUAGUGAGAGAAUUGCGAGUGGAGUCCGAUGUUGAGGGCCCGCCAAAAAGCAAGCACCGUGGAAAAUACUUUCCUUGUGAAGUUGGAUUGUUGGAAACCGUUGAGAACCUAGUUGAACCCGCCGCUUUUGAGGAAUUCGCGAAAUUUUCACUACAGUAUAUUGACAGGGAAGAUAACACUUCUUUGGGAGCAAGUUUCGCUGGACACCAAACCCUUGACGAGAGAAAAAUGACAUUUUAUGCGAGGAGUCAAACACUUCAUUGUGGUUUCGUCAAAGGUCCAGCAGGCUCCCCCAGCACGGGAUUCGAUUUGGAAGAGAAGGACAAGAUAUUCAUGAAUAAAUGCAUGAUUGUGGUAUCUUCUUGCAUAUUUGGGAGCUCUGAUUUUUUGAGGAGGCCAACGAGCAAACUGAUGAGUGAAUAUUCCAAGAAGAAUGUUUGUUUUGUUAUGUUCGUGGAUCAGCCUACCUUGUCUACUUUGGCAUCAGAAGGGAAUGCCCCCGAUGAUAAUGGAAAGAUUGGUUUAUGGAGAGUAGUUGUAGUGAAGAACCUACCCUAUGAGGAUAUGAGGCGAACUGGGAAGGUGCCUAAAUUCUUGUCACACCGGCUUUUCCCGUCUUCAAGGUAUUCCAUAUGGCUUGACAGUAAAUUGCGACUCAACACUGAUCCGAUGCUCAUUAUUGAGUACUUCUUAUGGCGGACUAGGUCAGAAUAUGCCAUUUCAAACCAUUAUGUGCGCCACUGUGUCUGGGAGGAGGUUCUCCAGAAUAAGCGGCUCAACAAAUACUAUCAUAAAGCCAUUGACGAACAGUUUAUGUUUUAUCAGUCUGAUGGCCUAAUCAAGUUUGAUGCUACAGAUCCAAAUACUCCUCUUCCCAGCUAUGUUCCAGAAGGCUCGUUUAUUGUGAGGGCCCACACACCAAUGUCUAAUUUGUUUUCAUGUCUCUGGUUCAAUGAGGUUGAUCGAUUUACCUCACGAGAUCAAUUAAGCUUUGCUUACACAUACUUGAAAUUGAAAAGACAGAAUCCUGACAGACCAUUUCGCUUAAACAUGUUUAAGGAUUGUGAGCGAAGAGCACUGGUGAAGCUGUUCCACCAUAGGGAAUUUCCAUCGCCACCAAAUGCUCCUUGAGCUGUCGAGUUACCGUUUUUGUUUGACCUGUUAAGGAAAAUUUCUCCUGUACUUUGUACGGUUACCUGAAUUAUAUCUUGGCUGUGUAAACUUUCAUCCAGGAAAGAAAGAAUCCAAUUGAGGAUCUUUGAUUAUUUCCUAUUUCUGCUGGGUCCUCGGGGGAAUUCCUGGUUCCAAUCGGGUGGGGAUCAGAUUAUGGGAAGGCUUCUCCACUCCCUUUCUAUCACUUGAAGCUCCGAGGAUGUAAUUGCCGUUGAUUCUCGACUCCCUGAAGCUAUCGGGUAUUAGCAAGAUAGGUGAUUCACGGAAUCGAGUUGUCUAUCCUAAGAUUCUUGAUGGAGAAUGCAUCAUGUCUGAGAAUGUGAUAUGGUUUCCAUCAUUUCCAAGAUGGGAUGGAUGGAAGCAAGAAAUGUAAAACAAAUUUUGGUAAAUUUUAGGAAUAAAAUUAGUUCAUGGCUGGCAUUUGAAAUUUUUGAA